AAGGCAAAUAAAAUACAUUGUAGCUCAGCAGGCAAACUGAUGGACUACAGCUGUGGCCAAGUGCAUUUGCUCUGGCAUUACUCUAAUAAAGUGUGUCAAUUGUGCAUCUGUUGUGUCCCCUUGCUUAAACUUCAUUUCUAGUCUCUGUAAGCACACCAUCAGGAAAGGAGAGCUGAUGUGGAACAGAGAAAGACAAGACAUAAACAUUGCACAGCCCAAGAUUUAGGUAGUGUGGUCCUUCCACCCACUUACAUUGUAUUCAUGUGUUAACCUACCCUCAACUUUUUCCCCUUGCCUCCCACUGUGUAUUUUAAAUAUCUUUACUAAACUGUGUGAUUCAAGCAUCCUAAUGUGGUGUCACUUUUUUGUCCCAUGACCUCCGGGAUAAGUGUAUUUGGAGACUACCACUGCAUCAAGUUAACGUCCCUCCUGACCCCAUCGAAAUCAUCUAAAAUCAAAAGGUGCCAAUAUGAAACUGUCAGCCAAAAAGGAAAAUCAAUUGGUCGCUACCAUGAAGAUUAACUAGCUCCAAUAUGUAAAGAACUGGAAGUCAUCACACCUGUUUUACAACAGAAAAAAGUUAAACUAAAAAUCAAUGACUUUUCUGGGAUCCAUCUGAGAACUAAGGUCACAAGGCAAACUGCCACCCUGAAAUCUGGAGAGACAGGUCCCAGUGAGCAACUUGAAGAUAUCAAGCAACUACUUACCACUAAGAGAUUGUUGCCAUGCUAAAGCAGAACAAAGUAAGGCUAAGCUUUUUCCACUUCCUGUGGGACUCUCCAACAAACAAUGUUGCUUACUGUUUAAUCCUCUGAGAAUCUAUGAACACAGGAACCAAUGAAAAAGAUUAAUAAACAUUUUAACUUUAUAAAGGUCUCUCUCCAUCUGAAGUAUAAAGAACAGCAAGAAGAAGUGAGAUUGCACUCCAGGGAACACAACGAUAGCAGAAGGAACUCGUAUUCAGUUAAAUCCAAACUGUAUUCCUUUACACUUUUCCCUAAGAUUAUCUUGGACUUACCAAAAUAUCAAGCACAAGAGAAGAAAUGAAAAGAGCAAUCUGUGCCAGAAUUAUGCAAGCACCAAUGAUUUCUGUAAAACCAGAAUACAUUACUACCUAUCAAUAUCUUUGAUGAAAACUCAAUGAAGGAUACUGCUAGUGAGAGUACAAAUUGUUGCAACUACUUGGUAGAGAAAUAAACAAUUUCUCAUAAAGUGAA